AUUGAACGCUGGCGGAAUGCUUUACACAUGCAAGUCAAACGGCAGCACGGACUUCGGUCUGGUGGCGAGUGGCGAACGGGUGAGUAAUGUAUCGGAACGUGCCCAGUCGUGGGGGAUAACGUAGUGAAAAUUACGCUAAUACCGCAUACGAUCUAUGGAUGAAAGCGGGGGAUCGCAAGACCUCGCGCGAUUGGAGCGGCCGAUAUCAGAUUAGGUAGUUGGUGGGGUAAAGGCCCACCAAGCCAACGAUCUGUAGCUGGUCUGAGAGGACGACCAGCCAGACUGGAACUGAGACACGGUCCAGACUCCUACGGGAGGCAGCAGUGGGGAAUUUUGGACAAUGGGCGAAAGCCUGAUCCAGCCAUGCCGCGUGCAGGAUGAAGGCCCUCGGGUUGUAAACUGCUUUUGUACAGAACGAAAAGGUUUCUACUAAUACUAGGAGCUCAUGACGGUACUAUAAGAAUAAGCACCGGCUAACUACGUGCCAGCCGCCGCCGUAA
rnacentral:rRNA from 1 species